CCGAGUGAGGGCCCUCUGGGUCCAACCUCCCACCCGUGUUUACCGUACCCUGUUGCUUCGGCGGGCCCGCCCUCAGCGGCCGCCGGGAUGGCCCCUUGCGCCUCCGGGCCCGCGCCCGCCGAAGACACCUGUGAACGCUGUCUGAAGGUUGCAGUCUGAGCAGAUUAGCUAAAUCGGUUA
rnacentral:misc_RNA from 1 species